CAAAGAGAGGAAGAACCCCUUUCUCCCAUAAAGCAUUGCGAGCUCCUCAUGCCACAUGCCUGGGAUGUUUCCUUGCCAGAAGAAGCCCUAUUUCCUGAUUUUUGUCAGGGUACUGUGAAGAUGAACAAUGCUCCAUUCUUUUCCCAUGGGAGAUGUUGAGUGCCUGAUGCCCGUUAAAUCAUUCAGGGUCAGGUGACUCGACCUUUGUGUCCCUGGCAGAGAAAAAUUGUCUUUUGAGCUAUCAUGAAUGGAUCAUCUUGAUGCUCCCACUCUGUCUUGCAAACAAAAGGGCAGACUGCCCCUGAUCAUCCACACCCCACUCUUGAGGACAUCUGCACUGCUCCAGUCCCAAGAGGCAAGGCGGCUUUGGAAGUCCCAGACUCCAGCACAUUAAUGAACAUCUUCUCCUGCACCAUUUCUCAAGUUACAUCGUUUAAAACAUCUUCUUUGGAUUGCCAUUAAAGCUAUCGGAGCAGACGGGACUACAGCUUCUCGGGUAGACAUCGUGUCUGGAGAGAACGUGAGGACCACACACUUCCUCCCCACUUUUCUAUGGCUCCUCUCAACUUUCCAUCAUUCAUUUUCCACGAUCAAAGUUUAUUGCAUUUAUACUCUGAUCCGCGGCUAUAAUUAAGUCUUCUGUGCUUUGAGGAGAGUGGUUCUCUUUCAUGAUGCUGAUUUCCCUCGGAUGUCUCUGGAGGUUGGUUGAUUGCUCCUAUUUUUAGCAAAAGGAUUAGACUGAUCACUAAGGUCCUUAAGGAAUUGUGCAGCAUCAAACUCUCAGCUUUGGAGGAGCAAUGAACCUAAAGGGUAUACCUGCCAGAGCGCCGCUCCCAACCUGUUGUUGGGAGAAAACCUGCUGAGUAACUGCUGUUCCCCAAAGGCAGCCUCCUCUUCCUUAAGCACUUGUGUCUAGCUACAUUUCUGUGAGUGACAUCAGCUCCUUUCACGGGGAAAAACCAGAACUCAGAAGACGGAGGAAGCAAGGGGGUACUGUGGUCGUUCACAGGUGUUCCUUCAGUCAGCUUCAUGAUUCUUUAAUAUUGAAGAAGAAAGGCUUAGUACUUGCCUGUCCACCUGUCAGUCAAGGAGAGUCAAAAUACAGUGGGUUUGUUUGAAAAAGAUCAUUCAAAUUCAAUAUUCUUGCUUGCUGUGGCAAAAGGAAAACAAUGAAAACCUGAAAAUAAGCCCAUAUUCCAGAUAUAAAAAAAUGCUUGAGCAAACUGUGAGAUAGCCACACUUUGGAAAGGUGAGCUGUUAUUAAAAUGCAAUGAGUUAGAGCAAACAGAACACACCAGAGCUCUGUCCAGGGCUAAGCCUACCAGCUUGGCAUUCACCCAUCUCACCCUCAUGAGGACACCCUUUGCUGUGGCUUUCACCAUACACACCGAAGAGGACAACAUUCUCCAGUUUUCCUUGCCAGGAUAUGACUAUGAUCUGGUCAUGAACUAUGAUGUCAUGCGAGGUGGACAGCUUUCAUGGUGUAGUGUUGUAUUGAGGAGCAGGUCCUUUGUCUUGUCCUGUCUGGCUCCCGGGUGCCCGGCUAGCUUAUACUUGAAAUAAUCACACAAAACCUGUAUUUAUUUAAGUACUGCCUGGCCCAUUAGUUCU